rnacentral:rRNA from 1 species
GUGGGGAAUAUUGCACAAUGGGCGCAAGCCUGAUGCAGCAACGCCGCGUGAGGGAUGACGGCCUUCGGGUUAUAAACCUCUUUUAGUAGGGAAGAAGCCGCACGGUGACGGUACCUGCAGAAAAAGCACCGGCUAACUACGUGCCAGCAGCCGCGGUAAUACGUAGGGUGCAAGCGUUGUCCGGAAUUAUUGGGCGUAAAGAGCUCGUAGGCGGCUUGUCGCGUCUGCUGUGAAAACCCGGGGCUCAACCCCGGGCCUGCAGUGGGUACGGGCAGGCUAGAGUGCGGUAGGGGAGAUUGGAAUUCCUGGUGUAGCGGUGGAAUGCGCAGAUAUCAGGAGGAACACCGAUGGCGAAGGCAGAUCUCUGGGCCGUAACUGACGCUGAGGAGCGAAAGCGUGGGGAUCAAACAGGAUUAGAUACCCGGGUAGUCC